rnacentral:misc_RNA from 1 species
UUCAUUUUUACACUCACUAGCCAUCAACCAGUAGGGUUUGCUUCGCUCUAUCUCAAAUUAAUUGCACCUGCUUUUUCUUAGCUUUCCUGUUUCUACGAGUAAUCAUGUCGUUGAGACCCAGCACCAGAACCGAGGUUCGCCAGAACCGUUACAAGGUCGCUGUCGACGCCGAUGAAGGUCGGCGGAGGAGAGAGGACAACAUGGUGGAGAUCCGAAAAAGCAAGCGCGAAGAGAGCUUACAGAAGAAACGCCGCGAAGCCCUCCAGGCUCAGCAGUUCCCUCCCACUGUCCUUUCUUCUACUACGGAAAAGAAGUUAGAAAGUUUGCCUUCAAUGGUCGCUGGCGUUUGGUCCAAUGAUGGCAGCUUGCAGCUGGAUGCCACCGCACAGUUUCGGAAACUGCUUUCAAUUGAACGAAGUCCUCCAAUUGAGGAAGUUAUACAAUCUGGG